GACGAACGCUGGCGGCGGGCUUAACACAUGCAAGUCGAACGAAGAGGGAUGGAGGGGUGGCUCUAACAAACUUAGGGGGGGAAGGGGGAGUAACGGGGAAACAACCCGCCCUUCAGGGGGGGAAAAAAGGGGGAAAAGAAUGGUAAAAACGCAAACGAACUAAGCUCGGGAACGAGGAGAGAGUGAAGGGGGGCGCUACAGGUAAGGUAGCACUGAAGGGGGGGGGUGCGUCUGAUUAGCUAGUUGGAGGGGUAACGGCCCACCAAGGCGAUGAUCAGUAGCCGGUCUGAGAGGAUGAACGGCCACAUUGGGACUGAGACACGGCCCAGACUCCUACGGGAGGCAGCAGUGGGGAAUCUUCCGCAAUGGACGAAAGUCUGACGGAGCAACGCCGCGUGAGUGAUGACGGCCUUCGGGUUGUAAAGCUCUGUUAAUCGGGACGAAAGGCCUUCUUGCGAAUAGUGAGAAGGAUUGACGGUACCGGAAUAGAAAGCCACGGCUAACUACGUG
rnacentral:rRNA from 1 species